ACACUGGUCUUUCUUAGGACCACUCUCAGAAAACUUGAAACUUUGU
rfam:Myotis davidii contig29266, whole genome shotgun sequence.